UACUAGUAGAACAAUAAACCAUUUCUAUUUUGUUUUUCAAUAGAGAUGUGUAAGUGGAAUUAUGUGAAGAUUUCUCAUUUCAUGGACCUUUGCUACUUGACUCCCAUUCAUUUUCUUCAGAAAAGCUCAAGAAUCAUAUUUAUUGCCUGAAGAAAUCACUUGCCACUAUCUUCCCCUUAUACAACUUCUUGGGAGCAUGAACACAUGUCUACAUGAGAUGAAUUGUAGGGUGAAGAGGAGCAGAAGGAUAGAAGAAGGAAUCUCCCCAGCUUUCUCAAACCUUCCAAGUGGGCCUUCACAGUAAGGUUUCAUUUAAAGUAUUGUGAAUUUACAGCUGCCAUAUUGAAAUGUCUGGAUGCCCAUUUAGUCUAACUUUUGUGAACCACUAAUGUCCACCAGCAACAUUCAAAAUGAAUGUU
rnacentral:lncRNA from 1 species